rnacentral:rRNA from 12 species
GACUCUAGCGAGACUGCCGGUGUCAAACCGGAGGAAGGUGGGGAUGACGUCAAGUCCUCAUGGCCCUUACGCCCAGGGUGGCAAACGUGCUACAAUGGCGUGUACAAAGCGAUGCAAUAUCGUGAGAUGGAGCAAAUCGCAAAAAGCACGCCCCAGUUCGGAUUGGAGUCUGCAACUCGACUCCAUGAAGCCGGAAUCGCUAGUAAUCGGAGAUCAGCCACGCUCCGGUGAAUACGUUCCUGAGCCUUGUACACACCGCCCGUCAAGUCAUGGAAGCCGGGAGUGCCCGAAGUCG